rnacentral:rRNA from 1 species
CCUACGGGCUGCACCAGUGGGGAAUAUUGCACAAUGGGCGCAAGCCUGAUGCAGCCAUGCCGCGUGUGUGAAGAAGGCCUUCGGGUUGUAAAGCACUUUCAGUCGUGAGGAAGGUGGUGUAGUUAACAGCUGCAUUACUUGACGUUAGCGACAGAAGAAGCACCGGCUAACUCCGUGCCAGCAGCCGCGGUAAUACGGAGGGUGCGAGCGUUAAUCGGAAUUACUGGGCGUAAAGCGCAUGCAGGUGGUUUGUUAAGUCAGAUGUGAAAGCCCGGGGCUCAACCUCGGAAUAGCAUUUGAAACUGGCAGACUAGAGUACUGUAGAGGGGGGUAGAAUUUCAGGUGUAGCGGUGAAAUGCGUAGAGAUCUGAAGGAAUACCGGUGGCGAAGGCGGCCCCCUGGACAGAUACUGACACUCAGAUGCGAAAGCGUGGGGAGCAAACAGGAUUAGAUACCCUCGUAGUC